AUGAAAUGAGAAAAUGAUAAACGCAAGAGAUUCUGCAGAUGCUGACAGUCCAGAGAAACACACAAAAUGCUGGAGAAACUCAGCAGGUCAGUCAGCGUCAAUGGAAGAGAAUAAAUAGUUGAUGUUUCAGGCUGAUAUGAAGAUUCCUCCAGUACUUUAUCACAGCUCUGCAUCCUAUCCAUGGGCCACUGUGACCAGCGACAACCUUCUAGACUAUCCAUAACACAGCCAACCAUCGUGUCAUCUGCAAACUUACCAAUCUGCCAUUCCACUUCCUCAUUCACUGCAAGUCAUUUAUGGAAGGCGUUUCUUCUUUAUGUUACUGCAUCAAAUCAUUACACAUUGUGUUGUGGAGGACAAGUUAAAAGAACAGCAAAGCAGAAUAAAGUGUAAAAGCUACAGAGAAAGUGCAGAGCAGUUUAUGAGGUUGAAGAGGUCACCAGUAAAGGCCAAAUGGAAAUUCCAAAAAGGAGACUGGCAGUUCCAUGAGGAAGUGUUGGCAUUCACCUUAUUUUCUGAGAGAUUUUUCAGGCUGAAUGUAAGGUGGCAAUGCAUCAGCAUAUGUGAGAGAGGCUGAAAAUCUGGCUGAGUGGUGUCAUAACUAAAACCUCUUACUCAAUGUCAGCAAGACCAAGGAAUUGAUUCUUUACUUCAAAAGGAGGAGACCAGAGGUCUAUGAAACAGUCCUCAUCUGAGAAUCAACGGUGGAGAGGGACAGCAACUUGAAAUUCCUCAGUGUUAUCAUUUCAGAGAACCAGUCCUGGGCCUAGAACAUGGAGCACUGUUGCAGGAAAGUAGUAUCCAUCUGCCAGGCCUUGCUCUUUCUUCUCACUGCUGCCUUCACGAUAAAAGUACAGGAGCCUUGGUAUUCACACCAGCAGAAUUCAUUACCUGUACCUGUAUGUACUACAUGAAUGGCAUACAUCAUCAUGCCACCAUGUCAUAUCUCUCUACAACCAUGAGGAACUGGAGGCAGAGGAAUAAAUGUUAAGCGUGAUGAACUGGGAACCAGCCAAGUGGACAGCUUUAUCCUGCAAGCAUCUGUCAAGGAAGAGACAGAAUUGAAGUUACAAGUCAAGAACUGCCAUCGAUAAGUGGUGACUGGACCUCAGGAGAUGGAGCCUGAUACCCUGACCCAGACCUUCAUGACGACCUUCUGAUGUCAGGAACUCACCACCAGAGGAGGAUCAGAUAUGUGCAGGAAAAGGUCCAGUAGAAGCACUAAAUUUGGAGCCAAAGGAGGAACAAGGUCCAAUAGAAGACAUCAAAAUGAAGGACAUCAAUGCCCGGGGAGAACUGUUAGCUAUCAGGACGUUGUUUCAUCCUUCAGCAGUUCGGUUUUAUCUUAUGAAUGCAUGGAUGAAGGCUCACAGGAUCAACAGCACAUGCUGUAGUUGUUGGAAGCACCAGCUGAGAGACAGCGAGCUUGCACUGAUGAACGCCCACUGAAAACAGCCAUUGUAACAGCAGUCACCAACCCAGGAGACAUGGCAGAUGGCAAAUAAAGAAAGGGAACACUGGAGGGAACUCAUUGCUUCAUGCAGUGGAGAUGAGACUGUUUAGUUAACUAACCAACUUGGGAAUACUGAUCCACAGAUAGGAAUGACAACCCACAAACAAAUCAAGGAUUUAAAAGCUCUGCAAAUAUCUUGGAUGCAGCAUAGAGUCCGGCUAUCAAUGCUGAUCUCCGUACCCUAGUCAUUUCCUUGGCAGAUGUGCCGAAAAUCUUAUAACAUUAUCCCCUGUGUAUAACACUUAAGUGUAACAGCAUGAAAAAAUAUUUUCAGUGUCAAGUCACCUGUUGCUAUGGUCACAGCAGUCCGUCAUUAUCUGUCCACAACUGUUGGAAGUGACGAGCAGCAAGUGUCUGAAAUGUUGCUUUUUGAAGGAACAAUCAUAAGCAAGGGUUAUAGAAAACAAGAAGCUUUGUGAUAUAAUACUGUGAGAGUGAUAAUUAUCAACAUAUUUCUAGUCUUUUUUAAUGCCUUUCUCCAAAAGAAAAUACAGGCAUUUGAAGCCUACAUUAGACUAUAUCCUUGCAUAACUGAAGUACUCUUAUUUCCAUCAAUGUCUUCCAAGCUGAUUAAAGAACUACCUCAAGAUUCUCAAGCUCCAGGUCAUUGUGUUUUUCAGAAUUGUCUCAAGAACUCCCUGGACCAUCCAGUGCUGGCCAUAGAGGGGGAGGUACUGCCAUGAGCCCUGCAGCUUGCCGUAGAGUAUUGAGAUUCUGGGAUUUUUGAGCACCUGUAUUGACUAAUCAGUGACUUAACUUAAUUAGAGUUGUUAAGUCCAUGUGUUUUCAGUUUAAUCUUGUCAAGUUGAUGUGUUUAUUGAUUAUUUAAAGAAGAUGCUCAGUUGCUGCCUCGGUGGAGUCAUUGUAUUGGAAAGGAUGAAUUCUCAUGGUGUAGCUCAGUCACUCCUCUGAGGCUUUGAUUCCGACGUUUAACCUCUUGUUUCCACCUCCUCCUGGGGAUCCUGCUGUUCCUCCACAUCUGGGCCCAGACCUUCAGGAACACACCAUGACACUUCCUCAAUGUCAACAAGACAAAGGAGAAGGCUAUUGACUCCAAGAUUACUCACACCACUCACACCCCUCUUUAUAUCAGUGGCAUAGCCGUGGAAACUGUGAGCAGUUUCAAACUCCUUGGAGUGCUUAUCAUGGUCCCAGAAAACAUUCUACACAAUCAGGAAUCUCACCAUUGCCUCUACUUUCUGAGGAGGCUGAAGAGAGCUGAUCUAUACACAUCUAUAUUAUUUCAAUCUACAGAUGCGCAAUAGAGAGCAUCCUAACAAACUUCAUCACUGUAUUGGACAGAAACUGCAUUGUGGUGGAAUUGAAGGCUCUGCGAUAGGUAGAUGUAGCUGCCCAGCUCAUCAUUGGUACCAGCCAACCUACCAUCCAGGACAUGUAUACAGAAAAGUAUUGAAAAAGGGCCAGUAACAUCAUGAAGGUUCCCAUCCACCCUGCUCUUAGAUUGUUUGUCUCACUCUCGCCAGAACCACCAGAUUCAAAAAGCAGUUACUUUCCAUAAGCGUCAGGCUGAUCAAUACCCCUCACACCCAAUUCACCACUACUUCAUCAUUUCCUGUAAGUCACCUUAUGUACAGAUCUAUACACCUAUGCAUGGCAUCACUUUAUGGACUUACAAUCUAUGUUUGUGUAUAAGUUAUCUUACGUUUUUAUAAUUAUUGUGUUUUUUUAAAUAUUAUUGGUAUGUUCCUUUUUUAUUGUGUAUUUUUUGGGGCUAUAUUGGAUCCAGAGUAAUAAUUAUUUUAUUCGUCCCUACACUUAUGUAAUGGAAAUGACAUGAAACAAUCCUGAAUCGUGAAACAGGAAAUUACAAUCUGAGAUGAACGCAAUGAAUCUAAGAGACUUACACAGGAAAAAUGGCCGAACUGGAGAAAUAACAUGCUUUCCAAUCCAAUCUGGUCAAUGACAGCUCACUGAUGUAGGGGUUGGGCUCAGUGUAGUUGGCAAGGCAAAAACAAAUCAACCAUAGUGCAUGGUAAGCUCAACCAUGCUGGUGAGAGUCUGUACACUGGAAUGAAAGUCAACAUGAACAAGAUUGUAACAUCUGAACAGAAACCAGUCUGGCAAAACAAAUUGUGUUACUGUUGUGGCAGGGACUCACAUAUGCCAGACUAAUGUGAAUCUUGUAUAAAAUGCAACAAAGUAGGACACAUACAAAGAGCAUGUUGGCAGACAAAAAAAAGUAAUGGAUAGGAAAGAGGAAAAGAAAAAAGUCAAGUUGCAGUUUCGAAAUGAGCACUAAUCUUCAUGCUGUUGAUGAAAUAUCUGAUAAUGAUGAGAGUGACACCUGAGCAGCCUUAGGAUUUACUAUGUGAAAACUAAUAAUAGACAAUCAAUGUGAGUUACACCAGAAAUGUCCGACAAAUUAAUUAAAAUGGCAUUAGGCACCAGCUUGGCAGUUUCAGUCAUUCCAGAAAAUAAGUUUGAAAAGCAUUUCAAAGAUACUGAACUGAAGCCUGUAGAUAUCCAGCUAAAAACCUACAGUCGAGAAAAGAUAAGUCCUGUGGGAAUGACAUUCAUAAUGGGGAAAUACAACAACCAAUAAGCCAAGUUGAGCUUGUAUGUGAUUAAAAAAAAACAGGAGGGCCAUCAUUCUGGAGUUGUGAGUGGCUGAGACAACUACAUCUUGUUUGAAGAUCCAUCCAUCAUUUGCAUUUCACAUCCCCUGUAAUAGUCAGCUGAAAGUGAAUUAAGAAAGGUACCGUAUGAUCUCAAAACUGUCUCCAUGCUGUAUAUCAUAAGUUGCGGCCCAACAGAGGGUAAACAGGUCUUGGUCCCAAUCUCUGCCUCUGGUUGGAAAGCAUAUUGGAUCAAGAAAGUACCAUGCUGCUCAGAGAAAUCAUGGAAGUGAUGAAAGCAGUCAUCUGACUACUACAGCUUUUGUAGGCAACAGAUCUGAGGAAGCUUCUGUUAUGUUAGUCAGGCAGUUACCUGCUAAAUGUGGCUUGCUUUUACUCUAGGAGGGAGUUCAACAUGCUUUAGAAAAUUUACAAGCAUUUGCUUUUGUGAGUAUAAAGAACCAGAUAUCAACUCUGUGUGCAGUAAGGGUUAUUGCAUGAACUUCAAGUGGGAGACAAAAAGCUAUUUGUAAAAGUAGAUGCAAAGACCAAAGCUGGAUAAAUGGAUGGCCAAACAGAAUGAACUCAAUGGAGAUAAUCAGAUGAUGUUGUGGAUGAGUAAACCAAGAGAAGAGAUCAGAUCGUAAACGGAGCAAUAGAAGGAUUAAUUAGAAAAUACUCCAGUGAAAUAAAUGCACCUUCCCAGGAACAAGACACAAAUCCUAAAAAGAAGAGAAAGGAAAAGAAAGAGGAUCAAGAGAGAGAAAGAAGCUGGGACUGGGAGAGAACCAAGGAUUGAAGUGGAUCCAGAGAGAAAAACUGAGAAAAUGAGAAGGAAGUUGUCCAGAGCUGUCAGAACCACUUCCUGCAGUCCCAGAGGCAACUCCUACAACUGCUAUGGAAAAGGCCCGAGAACUUGAGAUGGUUUUCACAGCCCCAAGUCUCAUUUGCCAAGCAGAGUGAUCGCCCUUAUCAGGAAAGAUGUUAUCCCACAAGAGUAAGGAAGCUUCCACAGUGAUUAAAUAUUUAAGUCUGAAUGGGACAACUUAUAAUUUGCUAUGCUAUGGAUGUCUAUAUGGUACAGUCGAUCUUCACUAAUCCGACUAACUGUAAUCUGGUUCCUUCGAUAAUCCGGCAUUGAUCUCAAAUUUUCCACACAACUGUAAUUUCAAAUUUCCUGGGCCACCGUACCAAUCUACUGCACAUUGUUUUGGUUGCGCUAGAUCUGUUCACAUGCUGGUAUGCUCUUGUAAGCACAGACAGGCGAUUCCUGCUUGUUCUCCUGCAUUUAUUAAUAUCAUUUGCAUGCGGUGCACCGCCUGGCACCCACCCGUCUCACCCACUAGUGAUGGGUGUGCUGGCACACGCUGGGUCGGUCUGCCUUCUCGCCCGCCUACCGGCAGUCGCGCACUGCACUCCGGCAUCGCCCGGCCGGCACACCGUUCUCUUCUGCCUACGACCUCAGAUCAGACGUGGUGACCCGCUGAACUUAAGCAUAUCACUAAACAGAGGAAAAGAAACUAACGAGGAUUCCCUCAGGAACUGCAAGUGAAGAGGGAAGAGCCCAGCGACGAAUCCCCAGCCACCUGGCGGUCACGCCAAAUGUGGUGUAUAGAAUACCUCCUUUCUCAGACUUCUGUUUCUGCUCAUCCAGAUGUGCUCCCACCAACAUCAACAGUUUUUGGAGAAACUGUUGUGCCAGUUUCAGCACCAGUUCCUGAUGCUUCACUCAUUUUUCAAGAUGAAGAUCUUGAUGAUCAUGACAACCCCACACUUGCAAACAUGUAGCUUUGCCUGAAGGUAUAUUAAACGUCUCACUUUAGAAGCAGAAGUGCUCAACUGUUCUGUAUAAGUUAAUUCCUGUACAUUUACCUGUACCCUUUAUUUUAUCUGUGCCUAUACAGUAUAUUACUUUAUUAAAAGUUCACUUAAUACUCAUUUAAUAUUUCUGUUUCAUUAUUAUCUAACUUGUAACGAUGUACAUGAUAUUUUAAAGGUAUGAUGAGGCAGUUACCUAUUGUUUAAUGGGAUCCUUUUGUAAUUUGGCAUUUUCACUAAUCUGGCACUUCGCAGGCCCUGGUGGUAGUUGUAUUAUAUGGUACAUUAGGUAUAUAAGUUGAAAUGCAUUUUAUAUUGAAUUGGAAUUUAUAGCUAAGCAGGGAGGUGUAUUGUGUAUUUAGCAUUUCAGUUGUAUUUCAGUAACAUUGUAAAUAUAUUGUUUGAUUAAGCUUUCUUUGUUGUUACAUAAUGCAUUGCAGGUUAUAUGUAAAUGUAUCUAUAUGGCAUACAGUGCGUCAUCACACUGCCACAUGAUUAUAUUGCACCUCACUAAAAAUUAAAAAUGAAUUUAGAAGUCCUGGCCCUCUUGUUUUCCUUUCAAUUAGUUUUUUUUUAUGCUUUGGAGUAACAAAGUAUAAUUGUACAUAACUUCAGGUCUUUCUAACUUCCCAGUCCUAUUUUCCUUCUCAAAAUGAAUUACAACAAUCCUUGACUUACUGAUUGCAUUUCUUGAAAAUGUUUUACUGAGCAAAAUUGAAAGCCUAUGCAAAUUGGAUCACAGACAUUUUCAUGCAUAUACUUCUAUACAGGGAGAAUGGGGUCCUACUCAUUAUAGCAAAAAUUAGAUUUGUUAUUGAAGACAUGUACAUUAAAGAGCUAAUAGUGUUAUAGCAAAAAUUUAUUAGUAGAAUAUUUAUAAAUCAAGGGAUGCUUAGACUUUAAGCUCAUUUAUAUUAAAAUACAUGGGCUGUGUGUUUGUAUAUGUUGCUAUCUUGUGUACUUUAUCCCAAAUUCUUUAUAAUACGCAAUUAUUCUUAUUUACUGCAUAUUCAAUAUUAAGUUGGAUUGACUCUGAGUUGAAAAUGUGAUAGGAAAACUGUUACUUGAAACAAAUAUUGAAGGUAUGUUUAAUGCCAAAUGAUGUAUUCAAGUGAAUUCAGUCUUGAGGCCAGUGUAAUCACUAAGGGAAUGUAGAGGCUGCAAUAGCCCCCAGCCUCUCUGCCCUAUCAUUUGAAGCUCUUUAUAGCCUUUGAUACAGAAUUGCAGGGAUGUUUCCAAACUACUGCAGAUUUCCUUCUGGCAAAACCUUGAACAAUGGU